AGCUAAAGAUAUAGCCUUAUCAGAUUUAAUAAAAACACUCUUAUAUAUUUACUAAUUAAAGCAUUUACCUAACUCAGUAUAGGAGAUAAAAAAGUUUUUUAGCGCAAUAAAACUAGUACCGCAAGGGAAACAUGAAAUAGAAAUGAAAUAAAAAUUAAGCAUAAAAUAGUAGAGCCUUACCCUCGUACCUUUUGCAUCAUGAUUCAACUAGUUAAAUCAGACAAAAAGAAUUUUAGUUUGACCUCCCGAAACUAAGUGAGCUACUUCGAGGCAGUCUUAGGAACUAACCCGUCUCUGUUGCAAAAGAGUGGGAUGACCCCCAAGUAGAGGUGAUAGACCUAACGAACUUAGUGAUAGCUGGUUAUUUAGGAAAAGAAUGUAAGUUCAUCUAAAAAUUAAUUUAAUAAUAAAAAAUAAAUGUUUAAUUUUUAAGUUAUUCAAAUAAGGUACAGCCUAUUUGAAACAGGGUACAACCUACACUAAUGGGUAACUCAAUGAGAUUAAUAAUUAAGUGGGCCUAAAAGCAGCCAACUUUAAAAUAGCGUCAAAGCUUAUUUAUUAGCUCAUAUAAUUUCAUUAUUUUUAAUCAACCCUUUAUUAUUACUAAAUACUUCUAUAAGACUAUAGAAUUUUUUAUGUUGAAACUAGUAACAAGAAGUUAAACUUCUCCUUAAUGUGAGCAUAAAUCGGCCAGGAUAAACCACCGAUAAUUAACGCGCUGAAUAUAAAAUAACAACUUUUUCAAGAAAAACUUAUUUUACAACACGUUAACCUUACACCAGAACAUUAAAGGAAAGAUUAAAAGAAAAGGAAGGAACUCGGCAAACAUUAACCCCGCCUGUUUACCAAAAACAUCGCCUUCUGCUUAAUUAUAGAAGGUCCAGCCUGCCCAGUGAAUUAAUUCAACGGCCGCGGUAUCCUAACCGUGCGAAGGUAGCGUAAUCACUUGUUCUUUAAAUGAGGACUAGUAUGAAUGGCACCACGAAGGUUAUACUGUCUCCCAUUUCCAAUCAGUUAAACUAAUCUUCACGUGAAGAAGCGUGAAUAAUAAUAUAAGACGAGAAGACCCUAUGGAGCUUUAAAUAACUGCAACAUGUGUUUUCAUUAUUUAACUUCAUGAAAAAAUUUUUAUUUAAACACUUUGAUUGCUAAUUUUUGGUUGGGGUGACCGCGGAGCAUAAAAUAACCUCCACAAUGAAAGAAAAUUAUUUUCUAAACCUAGAGCUACAACUCGAAGUAUUAUUAAAUUAACAUCCUUUGAUCCAAUAUAUUGAUCAACGAACAAAGUUACCCUAGGGAUAACAGCGCAAUCUACUUCAAGAGCUCCUAUCGACAAGUAGGUUUACGACCUCGAUGUUGGAUCAGGGUGUCCUAGUGGUGCA
rnacentral:rRNA from 1 species